GCUUUCUUUUUCAAAGCAGGAGGAACAAGGACCAUUGUUGGACACGUUUCUACGAAGCUUAUAUACCUUUUAGCAGACAGUUUGGGGACAUGUUAUGGGAUGAAAAACUUGGCUCCUCAUGGUCAUUGAAGUGGGUGCCUUCAAGAAAGCGAUACGAGAUUUAGUAUUUUGAUUAUUUGAAUACCAGAUCUCACGAACGCUUAUGCAAAUUGAGGAAGGAUUUGAAGGAAACAAGUUUUGAAUAUCAGAGCUUGGGGAAGCUGUGGAUGAGCGCAGCAGCAGAGCAGAGGGCCAUAAGAUUUUCUGAGGGAAGAGCAUAAAAAGAAAAGGAAAGCACAGUUCUUAGGUGGUUCGAUUCCAGCAUGCAUCUACAUCAACGUGGAAAGGCAUGCAUAGUAGCAUUCAUGGUUAAGCCACCGAAUUACUGGCUGCAUGUUGCAGCUUUUUGAGGAGCAUGCCUGCUCAUUACAAAGGAAAGUUUACACGGAUGCAUUUUCACUCAUCAUUUCAGGUGAUCUCAGGUUAAUUAGAACCCUAAUGUUAUUCAAUUUCAGGUGGAACAUUAGUACUAUAAUAUUAUGAUAA